CAACGUGGGUUACCUGCCCCGAUGAUUGGGACAACCCGAGGAAACUCGGGCUAAUACCAAAUGUGCUCCUGGUCGUCAUGGCCAUGAGGAAAGGAAGCUUCGGCCUCCGCAUCGGGAUGGGCCCGCGGCCCAUUAGCUUGUUGGUGAGGUAACGGCUCACCAAGGCGACGAUGGGUAGCUGGUCUGAGAGGACGAUCAGCCACACUGGGACUGAGACACGGCCCAG
rnacentral:rRNA from 1 species